rnacentral:rRNA from 1 species
GACGAACGCUGGCGGCGUGCUUAACACAUGCAAGCCGAACGGAAAGGCCCUGCUUGCAGGGUACUCGAGUGGCGAACGGGUGAGUAACACGUGGGUGAUCUGCCCUGCACUUCGGGAUAAGCCUGGGAAACUGGGUCUAAUACCGGAUAGGAGCCAUUUUUAGUGUGAUGGUUGGAAAGUUUUUUUCGGUGUAGGAUGAGCUCGCGGCCUAUCAGCUUGUUGGUGGGGUAAUGGCCUACCAAGGCGGCGACGGGUAGCCGGCCUGAGAGGGUGGACGGCCACAUUGGGACUGAGAUACGGCCCAGACUCCUACGGGAGGCAGCAGUGGGGAAUAUUGCACAAUGGGCGCAAGCCUGAUGCAGCGACGCCGCGUGGGGGAUGACGGCCUUCGGGUUGUAAACUCCUUUCGCUAGGGACGAAGCUUUUUGUGACGGUACCUAGAUAAGAAGCACCGGCUAACUACGUG